UACGGGGGGGGCAAGCGUUGUUCGGAAUUACUGGGCGUAAAGGGCCCGUAGGCGGCCAACUAAGUCCGACGUGAAAUCCCCAGGCUUAACCUGGGAACUGCGUCGGAUACUGGAUGGCUUGAAUUCGGGAGAGGGAUGCAGAAUUCCAGGUGUAGCGGUGAAAUGCGCAGAUAUCAGGAAGAACACCUAUGGCGAAGGCAGCUCUCUGGGACGGUACUGACGCUGAGACGCGAAAGCGUGGGGAGCGAACAGG
rnacentral:rRNA from 1 species